rnacentral:rRNA from 1 species
ACCACCGGCGGACGGCUCAGUAACACGUCGGUAACCUACCCUCGGGAGGGGGAUAACCCCGGGAAACUGGGGCUAAUUCCCCAUAGGCCUGAGGUACUGGAAGGUCCUCAGGCCGAAAGGGACUUAUGUCCGCCCGAGGAUGGGCCGGCGGCCGAUUAGGUAGUUGGUGGGGUAAUGGCCCACCAAGCCGAAGAUCGGUACGGGCUGUGAGAGCAGGAGCCCGGAGAUGGACACUGAGACACGGGUCCAGGCCCUACGGGGCGCAGCAGGCGCGAAACCUCCGCAAUGCGGGAAACCGCGACGGGGGGACCCCGAGUGCCGUGGCAACGCCACGGCUUUUCCGGAGUGUAAAAAGCUCCGGGAAUAAGGGCUGGGCAAGGCCGGUGGCAGCCGCCGCGGUAAUACCGGCGGCCCGAGUGGUGGCCGCCAUUAUUGGGCCUAAAGCGUCCGUAGCCGGGCCCGUAAGUCCCUGGCGAAAUCCCACGGCUCAACCGUGGGGCUUGCUGGGGAUACUGCGGGUCUUGGGACCGGGAGAGGCGGGGGGUACCCCUGGGGUAGGGGUGAAAUCCUAUAAUCCCAGGGGGACCGCCAGUGGCGAAG